GCUCCUCGCUGGGCAGGACACGAGGGGCGGGGACCCUGGAUGUCUCAACACAGCCCAUGAUAACAAGGAAGAAGAGGAGGAAGAAGAAGAGUCUCAUGGGAUUAUGAGUUCUUGUGAAGUGUGACAAUGACUUGACUUGUGCUUUUAAAUGGAGGCAGCUGUCCAAAGGAGAGACCAGACGUGUUUAAGAUGUUGUGCUCUACACCUUUUCAGCUGGUUUCAUAUUGGACAUUGAAGGCAAAAUGUGUUUUUAUUCUUAGAAGUUUGUAAAUUAUGUGAAUAUUAAUUACAAUGGUAACACAAAAUGUAAUAACCAAAUUCGAGUAAUAUUAUUAACACAUAUCAACUCUUAACCCCAGACAGAGAGAGUAAUCCAAUGAAAAUACCCUCUGUACAUUAUUUUGGUGUAAUAGGAAAUUGGACAGUAUUAAUCGUUUUGAUGAAAUGUAAAUGCCGUUUCCUUCAGACAUUCCCUGGUUAUUAUGUACUCAACUCAACGGACACUACAAACACAUCAGGACUAUGAGAGAUUCAACCCCAUCUGAGUAGGAGCCAAUGGAUUACCAGAAUCCAUACACUGCUGUCUCUCUCUCUCUCCUAUCCAACCCCAACCUAAUGGGUCUGAACUAUGGUUGGAAAAUAGGUCUGAACUCUACCACGACAUCACAGCUCGGCCACAGAGGACCAGACAUCAUGUACACCUGAGGCCUGAGAGAUGCUGUCUAGUUUGGGGACUGUCUGUUUGAAACAGAUCUUGCUAACUUCAACUCCAGACAUCCUCAGAUAUGGUGUGAUGUCUGGUACCGUGACACUAAUAUCUUGCCCACCGGGAAUAGCUUCAAAAUGUCUGAAUAACUUUGAAGAGUCACUGUUUGGAAUCAAACACAGUUCAAGUACCAUUGAAAGACCAAUUAUAAUCCAGAGCGACUGAGGAAACAGUCAAAUCAUCCAUUCUACAACAACCAGUAUGCUCUAUCCCAUGUUUUUUUUGUGUUUUUUUUAGUCAUUUAGCAGACGCUCUUAUCCAGAGCGACUUACAGUAGAGUGCAUACAUUUUAUUACAUUUUUUACAUUUCAUUACAUUUUUACAUACUGAGACAAGGAUAUUCCUACCGGCCGAACCCUCCCUAACCCGGACGACGCUAUGCCAAUUGUGCGUCGCCCCACGGACCUCCCGGUUGCGGCUGGCUGCGACAGAGCCUGGGCGCGAACCCAGCCCAGCCUGGGCGCGAACCCAGAGACUCUGGUGGCGCAGCUAGCACUGCGAUGCAGUGCCCUAGACCAUUGUGCCACCCGGGAGGCAUGUUAACCUGAGAACUGGAUACCUCAGGAAGUAAUAUAGGCCAGGGUACAGUACAGCUACUCUCUGUGACUGGCAUACUCCUGUGCGGUUCAUCACAAGAGCAAACUGGGGAAAGGGGCAUUUAAUGGUUCUGGUCUUCACAUCAAACAACUCUGCCCUCUCUGUUGUCCUCUCUGUAAGGAUGACAAACUAUGACAAAAUGGAUGCUUACUAUUCAUGAUCCCCAUCCUAACUGUUGCCAGGUUUUAAAAUGAAUGCACUAUUAGUGCCACUAUGUUCUUUUUAAGUCAAAAAUAAAGAAAUGUAUUGUAAUUUUGUUCUAUGUUGCUAUUCUAUUGCCAGUGUUGUUGUUUUGGUUCCAUGUGUAAGAGGCAUUGAUGUGGGUGUGUAGUCCAUUAGUGUUGCACUAGUAAUCUAAUAACAUGGUAGAACAACAGGGGUCUCCAACUCUGGUCCUGGAGACCUACGCGCGGUGCAGGAUUUCUUCCAACCCGGCACUACCACAGCUGAUCCAACUUAUCAUGGUUCAGAGUCAGACUGAAGACUGUGAUCAAUUGAGUGUGUUUAGUAGGUAUGUUCGUGAUUGGUUGGAGCAAAACCCUGCACAUGCAGUCACUCUCCAGGGCCGGAGUUGGAGAACCUGUUGUUGAAGCAUGGUAUCUUAGCUAACAACAUGAUGAACAGAAUACACCACCACAACCAUAAUGUGACAGAUAAGACUCUUCGUCUGGCCCAUUCAUCUGGGUUUGCUUAGAUAAAGUUCCCCACAGCUCGUUAAGCAACUUCCACAGCAUUCAUCAUUCUGUCUUUCGUUCUCGCUCUCCCUAUUGCUCGCUCUGUCUAUCUCCGUCUCUCUCUCUCUCUCUCUCUCUCUCUCUGUAAUAUUAUGAUAAUUAAGUCCAAUGCAGACACAAGAUGUAAUCCUGCUUUACUAACAGUAAAACAUUGAGUAGCAGCUCACCAGUGAAGGCUGCUGAGGGGAGAACGGCUCAUAAUAAUGUCUGGAACAGAGCAAAUGGAAUGGCAUCAAACACAUGGAAACCAUUUUUUUGAUGUUGUUGAUACCUUUCCACUGAUUCCGCUCCAGCCAUUACUACAAGCCCGUCCUCUCCAAUUAAGGUGCCAGCAACCUCCUGUGCAGCUUACUGACUUCUGGUUCAUUUAAAUGUAAUUGAUCUGAGUUGAAAUUCUAAUAAACAAUAUGUUUCAAACUC